AAAUUGCAGCCCGACUUGAGUGUAGCUCUCCGCCGCGGCGGAAGCGGGAACGGAAGGCGGAAAUGUCU
rnacentral:misc_RNA from 1 species